CUACGGGAGGCACCAGUCGAGAAUCUUCCGCAAUGGGCGCAAGCCUGACGGAGCAAUGCCGCGUGAGGGAUGACGGCCCUAGGGUUGUAAACCUCUGUCAGAAGGGACGAAGAACGUGACGGUACCUUCAGAGGAAGCCAUGGCUAACUACGUGCCAGCAGCCGCGGUAAUACGUAGAUGGCGAGCGUUAUUCGGAUUUACUGGGCGUAAAGGGUCCGUAGGGGGUCUGCCAAGUCUGAUGUGAAAUCCUGCGGCUCAACCGCGGAACUGCAUUGGAAACUGGCGGACUAGAGUGUGCGAGGGGUGAGCGGAAUUCCUGGUGUAGCGGUGGAAUGCGUAGAUAUCAGGAAGAACACCGAUGGCGAAGGCGGCUCACUGGCGCAUCACUGACCCUGAGGGACGAAAGCGUGGGUAGCAAACAGGAUUAGAUACCCCGGUAGUC
rnacentral:rRNA from 1 species